UGGAGAGCGGGGGGGCCCUGAAGCCGCUCUGGGCCGCCUGAAACGAUGAAGUCCAGGUGGAAAGCCAGUCGCCGUUUCCUGGGGGCUACGACUCCAAGGACUCAUCCGAACUUAACCGUUGGAGUAACCACAAACGCAGAAACUUUUAGUUGAGUGUUAUCUAUAAAAAGCACUCUUUUCAUUACUGUGGAACUUGGAAAAGCUUUGCCCGGGAUACUGAAGUGUAAUUCACUGCCGACUUUUCAAAAUUAUGUUAUGACUUCAGGGGAAAAGAGAUCCACAAGAACCAGUAAGAGGAAAGCUUAAGCUGCUUGGAAAUCUUUAAAUAAACUUUCAAUAUGGAUUGAGCUUUCUGCUGCAUGACCACAAGAUUCUCUAGUAAGGCUUAAUAGAGCUAAAACAGAAUUCACAAGGCAAGGUUCACACCGACUGUUAUCACUGCUUCCUCUUUCUUCUUACUGAGGGGAAAAUGCCAAAGCAAUUGGAAAAAAAAAAUACCGUUUUCUCCGAAAUGAAGACUCCUCAAGAUCCUGUUGCUGGAUUGAGUAUUGGACUCUUCAGUCUACUUCUACAGUCACCAUCUGGCACACACUAUGAUGCCCAACAGUAGGGAGGUGAAAGAAAAGUUGCUGUUGGCAUUUCUAAAAGAUAUGUUGUAUAGUUUUUCUACUUUAUAGACUAUUUAUUAAGCUAUAAAUCUCAAUUUUGGCAAGCAAAUGUAUUCCCCAGCUUUUCUUCAUUUUUAAAAAAUUUUAUUUAGGGUCAGCAUGGAAAAAUAAUUUGAACAAAGCUCAAGAGGAUGAGAUGGUCUGAUAAACAGUAGUUGACAUAUAUAUAUAUUUUUAAAGAUUUCAAUCCUUAUUUUUAAAACUAUUUGAAAACCUUUUGUGAAACCCAAAUGAAGUAGGCAUGGCUGAGUCCAGAGGAACAGUGUGGAAGAUUAGAAAAAUGAACAGGCAGGAGACAGACAACUCUGGAUUCAAACCCCACUUCUAAGCCUUAGAGAAAUAAUAGUAGGGGAUAGUAAUAUUCACCCUGAAGAGUGCUGUAGGGAUCAUCAAUAUUUCA